CAAGAUCAGAAUUGUUUCUUUCAUGCAGAGUUUCUGCUGCUAUUUGUUAAAUCUUAAAGAAACGUCUGUUCCUUAGGUUUACAAGCCCCCUUGUUCAAAUAUGAAAAUGAUUUAUUUGCAAACUUCAAUGCAAAAUGCCAUCCAGGGGGCCAGGGCGAUUAGAUGCCCAUCACUCACGGUGGCAAGAAGUUCCGUGUCGAGUUGAUGAACCAGCACCAGCUGGGAGCCCGGAUGAAGAAGGCUGUCCCCGCGAAGAAAAAGGACAAGUGAUGAGAUGUUUUUGACAGCUAAUGGAUGAUGUUAUCUUAGUCUGUGAAUUUUUGUUUUGGUCGAUUUAGAAACCUUGUUUGAUGUCUGAAGAUCCCUUUUUGCCCACUGUUCAAACCAUCUCUUCAUUUUUGUGUAAAUGGUAACAAUACACUUCAAACAAUUAAGUUGUCAUCCCAAAAAAUAUUUUGUAAAAGGAUGUAGUUAUCGCCUCAA